rnacentral:lncRNA from 1 species
AGCAAAUCAGAUCCGAUAAGAGGUCUGUUCUUCCUGUAUCGCUUAAAAAUGGCAGAAACAGCUAAACAGGACAGAAAUGGAUCACAGAAGCAGACGUCUGGGAAGAUCAGAAGAAACAGAAUGGUCCUCCACAGCUGCUUUGGUUAUGUGAGGAGACACUAAGCCAGAGAUGAAUCAUUGAGGAACGUAAGACAAACAAGUGGGUGAGAUAACAUUUCACCUCACCUGUCUAAUCCUAAUGAAACCCGACGCGUGUUCUGAUGAGAGCAUCACCGUCAGGAGGCUCGGCGGUGCUGGAGGAGUGGAUACAGGUGGAGCAGGGCAUCACGCUGAAGGUGUGGUCAUAUGGCUCCAGCCCCAGUGAUGUGCCUGGAUCAGCAGCCUACAGCGCGCCUGAGGGCACUGAAUGCCUGGAGGAGGUAUGAGCUGAACAACAAGUAAAUUAAAGAUAGGAUGAAUGCCACUCUACAAAGGCCGUAGUGUGUGAGUGUGUGUGUUGGGGGGGAGGGGUCCUUAUGUGAGCAUCUGCAUCACCAAACAAAAGCACCUUGACUUCUGAUGUACCUGUUCUCCUCCCUUAAACUGUCCUGCGUAUCGUCCUGGUGUAUCAAAGCUCCACGUUUGAUACCCCAUCAAAAACCCUUACAAAACACAACCUGUCUUCUUUUCCUCUUCUCUUCUUCACAGGAACACCACCUUCAAACACAUGCAGAGCAUCGAGUGCCACCUAAAGAACAAUUAUUCCUGUAAUCUCCAGCGGCGAGAUGGCAAAAAGGACAUAUUCUUCUCUGCUACAGGAAAAGAAGCUGUUAUUAUUAUGAAACACAAAGGUUGAGUUACAGAUGUAAUAGAUGCUCA